rnacentral:sRNA from 1 species
UGAUGUCCGUGCAUCAACAGUCAGUAAGC